rnacentral:rRNA from 1 species
UCUCCUGGGAAAGGGUGGUAAUGCCGGAUGCUCCAGUUGAUCGCAUGGUCUUCUGGGAAAGCUUUCGCGGUAUGGGAUGGGGUCGCGUCCUAUCAGCUUGACGGCGGGGUAACGGCCCACCGUGGCUUCGACGGGUAGCCGGCCUGAGAGGGCGACCGGCCACAUUGGGACUGAGAUACGGCCCAGACUCCUACGGGAGGCAGCAGUGGGGAAUAUUGCACAAUGGGCGCAAGCCUGAUGCAGCGACGCCGCGUGAGGGAUGGAGGCCUUCGGGUUGUAAACCUCUUUUAUCGGGGAGCAAGCGUGAGUGAGUUUACCCGUUGAAUAAGCACCGGCUAACUACGUGCCAGCAGCCGCGGUAAUACGUAGGGUGCAAGCGUUAUCCGGAAUUAUUGGGCGUAAAGGGCUCGUAGGCGGUUCGUCGCGUCCGGUGUGAAAGUCCAUCGCUUAACGGUGGAUCCGCGCCGGGUACGGGCGGGCUUGAGUGCGGUAGGGGAGACUGGAAUUCCCGGUGUAACGGUGGAAUGUGUAGAUAU